rnacentral:rRNA from 1 species
UACGGAGGAGGCAAGCGUUAUCCGGAAUUAUUGGGCGUAAAGCGUCCGUAGGCGGUUCAACAAGUCUGCGGUUAAAGACGGAAGCUUAACUUCCGAGAGGCCGUGGAAACUGUUGGACUAGAGAGCGACAGGGGCAGAGGGAAUUCCCAGUGUAGCGGUGAAAUGCGUAGAGAUUGGGAAGAACACCAGUGGCGAAAGCGCUCUGCCGGGUCGCGACUGACGCUCUUGGACGAAAGCUAGGGGAGCGAAAGGG